rnacentral:rRNA from 1 species
AUUGAACGCUGGCGGCAGGCCUAACACAUGCAAGUCGAGCGGAUGAAGGGAGCUUGCUCCUGGAUUCAGCGGCGGACGGGUGAGUAAUGCCUAGGAAUCUGCCUGGUAGUGGGGGAUAACGUCCGGAAACGGGCGCUAAUACCGCAUACGUCCUGAGGGAGAAAGUGGGGGAUCUUCGGACCUCACGCUAUCAGAUGAGCCUAGGUCGGAUUAGCUAGUUGGUGGGGUAAAGGCCUACCAAGGCGACGAUCCGUAACUGGUCUGAGAGGACGAUCAGUCACACUGGAACUGAGACACGGUCCAGACUCCUACGGGAGGCAGCAGUGGGGAAUAUUGGACAAUGGGCGAAAGCCUGAUCCAGCCAUGCCGCGUGUGUGAAGAAGGUCUUCGGAUUGUAAAGCACUUUAAGUUGGGAGGAAGGGCAGUAAGUUAAUACCUUGCUGUUUUGACGGUACCAACAGAAUAAGCACCGGCUAACUUCGUG